rnacentral:rRNA from 1 species
GUACACAAAAAUGCACAUAUUGUGAGCUCGAUGAGUAGGGCGGGACACGUGGUAUCCUGUCUGAAUAUGGGGGGACCAUCCUCCAAGGCUAAAUACUCCUGACUGACCGAUAGUGAACCAGUACCGUGAGGGAAAGGCGAAAAGAACCCCGGCGAGGGGAGUGAAAAAGAACCUGAAACCGUGUACGUACAAGCAGUGGGAGCCUCUUUAUGGGGUGACUGCGUACCUUUUGUAUAAUGGGUCAGCGACUUAUAUUCUGUAGCAAGGUUAACCGAAUAGGGGAGCCGAAGGGAAACCGAGUCUUAACUGGGCGUUAAGUUGCAGGGUAUAGACCCGAAACCCGGUGAUCUAGCCAUGGGCAGGUUGAAGGUUGGGUAACACUAACUGGAGGACCGAACCGACUAAUGUUGAAAAAUUAGCGGAUGACUUGUGGCUGGGGGUGAAAGGCCAAUCAAACCGGGAGAUAGCUGGUUCUCCCCGAAAGCUAUUUAGGUAGCGCCUCGUGAAUUCAUCUCCGGGGGUAGAGCACUGUUUCGGCAAGGGGGUCAUCCCGACUUACCAACCCGAUGCAAACUGCGAAUACCGGAGAAUGUUAUCACGGGAGACACACGGCGGGUGCUAACGUCCGUCGUGAAGAGGGAAACAACCCAGACCGCCAGCUAAGGUCCCAAAGUCAUGGUUAAGUGGGAAACGAUGUGGGAAGGCCCAGACAGCCAGGAUGUUGGCUUAGAAGCAGCCAUCAUUUAAAGAAAGCGUAAUAGCUCACUGGUCGAGUCGGCCUGCGCGGAAGAUGUAACGGGGCUAAACCAUGCACCGAAGCUGCGGCAGCGACACUAUGUGUUGUUGGGUAGGGGAGCGUUCUGUAAGCCUGUGAAGGUGGCCUGUGAGGGUUGCUGGAGGUAUCAGAAGUGCGAAUGCUGACAUAAGUAACGAUAAAGCGGGUGAAAAGCCCGCUCGCCGGAAGACCAAGGGUUCCUGUCCAACGUUAAUCGGGGCAGGGUGAGUCGACCCCUAAGGCGAGGCCGAAAGGCGUAGUCGAUGGGAAACAGGUUAAUAUUCCUGUACUUGGUGUUACUGCGAAGGGGGGACGGAGAAGGCUAUGUUGGCCGGGCGACGGUUGUCCCGGUUUAAGCGUGUAGGCUGGUUUUCCAGGCAAAUCCGGAAAACCAAGGCUGAGGCGUGAUGACGAGGCACUACGGUGCUGAAGCGACAAAUGCCCUGCUUCCAGGAAAAGCCUCUAAGCAUCAGGUAACAUCAAAUCGUACCCCAAACCGACACAGGUGGUCAGGUAGAGAAUACCAAGGCGCUUGAGAGAACUCGGGUGAAGGAACUAGGCAAAAUGGUGCCGUAACUUCGGGAGAAGGCACGCUGAUAUGUAGGUGAAGCGACUUGCUCGUGGAGCUGAAAUCAGUCGAAGAUACCAGCUGGCUGCAACUGUUUAUUAAAAACACAGCACUGUGCAAACACGAAAGUGGACGUAUACGGUGUGACGCCUGCCCGGUGCCGGAAGGUUAAUUGAUGGGGUUAGCGGUAACGCGAAGCUCUUGAUCGAAGCCCCGGUAAACGGCGGCCGUAACUAUAACGGUCCUAAGGUAGCGAAAUUCCUUGUCGGGUAAGUUCCGACCUGCACGAAUGGCGUAAUGAUGGCCAGGCUGUCUCCACCCGAGACUCAGUGAAAUUGAACUCGCUGUGAAGAUGCAGUGUACCCGCGGCAAGACGGAAAGACCCCGUGAACCUUUACUAUAGCUUGACACUGAACAUUGAGCCUUGAUGUGUAGGAUAGGUGGGAGGCUUUGAAGUGUGGACGCCAGUCUGCAUGGAGCCGACCUUGAAAUACCACCCUUUAAUGUUUGAUGUUCUAACGUUGGCCCGUAAUCCGGGUUGCGGACAGUGUCUGGUGGGUAGUUUGACUGGGGCGGUCUCCUCCUAAAGAGUAACGGAGGAGCACGAAGGUUGGCUAAUCCUGGUCGGACAUCAGGAGGUUAGUGCAAUGGCAUAAGCCAGCUUGACUGCGAGCGUGACGGCGCGAGCAGGUGCGAAAGCAGGUCAUAGUGAUCCGGUGGUUCUGAAUGGAAGGGCCAUCGCUCAACGGAUAAAAGGUACUCCGGGGAUAACAGGCUGAUACCGCCCAAGAGUUCAUAUCGACGGCGGUGUUUGGCACCUCGAUGUCGGCUCAUCACAUCCUGGGGCUGAAGUAGGUCCCAAGGGUAUGGCUGUUCGCCAUUUAAAGUGGUACGCGAGCUGGGUUUAGAACGUCGUGAGACAGUUCGGUCCCUAUCUGCCGUGGGCGCUGGAGAACUGAGGGGGGCUGCUCCUAGUACGAGAGGACCGGAGUGGACGCAUCACUGGUGUUCGGGUUGUCAUGCCAAUGGCACUGCCCGGUAGCUAAAUGCGGAAGAGAUAAGUGCUGAAAGCAUCUAAGCACGAAACUUGCCCCGAGAUGAGUUCUCCCUGACUCCUUGAGAG